AUUGAACGCUGGCGGCAUGCCUUACACAUGCAAGUCGAACGGUAACGGGCCUUCGGGUGCCGACGAGUGGCGAACGGGUGAGUAAUACAUCGGAACGUGCCCGAUCGUGGGGGAUAGCGAGGCGAAAGCUUUGCUAAUACCGCAUACGAUCUACGGAUGAAAGCAGGGGACCGCAAGGCCUUGCGCGGACGGAGCGGCCGAUGGCAGAUUAGGUAGUUGGUGGGAUAAAAGCUUACCAAGCCGACGAUCUGUAGCUGGCCUGAGAGGAUGAUCAGCCACACUGGGACUGAGACACGGCCCAGACUCCUACGGGAGGCAGCAGUGGGGAAUUUUGGACAAUGGGCGCAAGCCUGAUCCAGCCAUGCCGCGUGCAGGAUGAAGGCCUUCGGGUUGUAAACUGCUUUUGUACGGAACGAAAAGCCUUCUUUUAAUACAGGAGGGUCAUGACGGUACCGUAAGAAUAAGCACCGGCUAACUACGUG
rnacentral:rRNA from 1 species